UGGUCUUGACAUAGAAAGAACUUUCCAGAGAUGGAUUGGUGCCUGCUUGCAGGAGCUUUCAUACAGGUGCUGCACGGCUGUCGUCAGCUCGUGUCGUGAGAUGUUGGGUUAAGUCCCGCAACGAGCGCAACCCUCGUCAAUAGUUGCCAGCAGGUUAAGCUGGGCACUCUAUUGAGACUGCCUUCGCAAGGAGGAGGAAGGUGAGGACGACGUCAAGUCAUCAUGGCCCUUACGGCUAGGGCUACACACGUGCUACAAUGGGGCGUACAGAGUGUUGCGAUACCGCGAGGUGGAGCUAAUCACUUAAAGCGUCUCUCAGUUCGGAUUGGAGUCUGCAACUCGACUCCAUGAAGCUGGAAUCACUAGUAAUCGUAGAUCAGCAAUGCUACGGUGAAUACGUUCCCGGGUCU
rnacentral:rRNA from 1 species